rnacentral:tRNA from 1 species
UACUUAAAUAGUUUAUUGAAAAUUAUAAAUUGUGGAUUUAUAGAAGUGUAAUAUUAUACUUUAGGUAA